GGUGAUGUGGUGCAUGUCUCCUUGACUGGGGGUCAAGGGGUCGUGGGUUCAAAUCCCGCCGUCCCGACCA
rnacentral:tRNA from 1 species